CAACUCUCAAGCACAGCUUGGUAUUGGGUGUCACUGUUUGUAGUGCACCUUAAAAUCAGUGGCGGUGCCACCUGGCUUCUAGCGUAGUAAAUCUUCUCGCUAUAGAGCUUGGGUGUGUACUUGCUAUCAACGCCUAUUGUUACA
rnacentral:misc_RNA from 1 species